rnacentral:lncRNA from 1 species
UCCCGCCUCCCCUGCGAUCCCGGUCCUCAGAGGUUUUUCAGCUUUGGAACGAAAACCCUGUAUCAAAGCAUCGAUGCUCCACAGUCUAAAUUCUUCCCACCCAUUUUAAAGCCUAUGCUACCACCUAAUGCCUUUCAAGGAAAAGUGGCUUUCAUCACGGGAGGAGGCACUGGCCUUGGCAAGGCAAUGACAACUUUCCUGUCCAGCCUGGGUGCCCAGUGUGUGAUCGCGAGCAGGUCUAUGCGAUUCGGUGUGACGUUCGAGAUCCUGAUAUGGUACACAACACAGUACUGGAGCUGAUCAAAGUUGCAGGGCAUCCUGAUGUGGUGAUAAACAAUGCGGCAGGGAACUUCAUUUCUCCCAGUGAGAGACUGUCUCCCAAUGGUUGGAAGACCAUAACUGACAUAGUUCUCAAUGGUACAGCCUAUGUGACGCUAGAAAUUGGAAAGCAGCUAAUUAAAGCACAGAAAGGAGCUGCCUUUCUUGCUAUCACUACGAUCUAUGCUGAGAGCGGAUCAGGCUUUGUAAUGCCAAGUUCUUCAGCCAAAUCAGGCGUGGAAGCCAUGAAUAAGUGAGCACUACUGAGUUAAUUGUAUUCCUGAAAAUAGAUAAAGUUCUCUGGCCAAAAGGAAGACUGAUUUGGGACAGGCUAUGUCUGAUCACAAGUUCCUGUGCCAUAGGACUGAUUUUACUGAUGGGGACUUUGAUUGAUACUCUCCUACUGAAUUUUAUCUGUUGCAAAAUUACAGU